AUGGCCACUACGAGUGCUUGCCCACUCUGUGGAGGGCAGGACAGCUGGUGACAUUCCUUGCUGGAUUGUAAUGUGUCUCGGUGCGUGUGGGCACUGUCAGAGGCCGAGCUGGUCGAGCACAUGUUGGCAACAUCGGAACCAGACGCAAGGCUAUGGCUCUUUGCUAUGAAUGAGUCUCUUCCAACGGAGCAAUUUUCGUUGAUGAUCGUUACUUUGUGGGUUAUCUGGAGUGCACGGCGGAAGGAGAACACCCAGGGGACAGCAGUACCACGACCACGUAGGUGGAUUCCGCCACCCACAGACCACUUCAAGCUCAAUGUGGACGCUGCCGUGUCCCGCUCGGGCAUGUUUGGCGCGGUCGGUGUGGUUUGCAGGGAUGCGAGGGGUUUGUUCAUGGGAGCUUCGGCCCUCGUUCUCAGGGGACUCCGCAACCCCCAGGUGCUAGAAGCACUAGCUGUACGGGAGGCACUGGCACUUUCAGAUGAUCUCUACAUCAACCAAAUACUGGUGGCCUCGGAUUGUAAGGUGGUGGUAGAUGCGAUCAUGCAAGGAAGCUCAGCAGACUUUGGUGCCAUUGUCCAAGAGAUCAAGGCCAGAGCAACUACCUUCAUUUCAUGUUCGUUUAAUCAUGAGUAUAGGACCUCCAACACGGAGGCCCAUAAUCUCGCAAAGCAUGCUUUAUCUUUAGGGUUUGGCCGUCACACCUGGCUAGGCCAGCCCGGCGACCUUCUCUUUGUACCUAUGAAUAUUCUGAUUCAGUAA
rnacentral:rRNA from 1 species